AUUGCCCUAGUAACGGCGAGUGAAGCGGCAACAGCUCAAAUUUGAAAUCUGGCGCAAGCCCGAGUUGUAAUUUGUAGAGGAUGCUUCUGGGUAGCGGCCGGUCUAAGUUCCUUGGAACAGGACGUCACAGAGGGUGAGAAUCCCGUAUGUGAUCGGCCCGCGCCCUCUACGUAGCUCCUUCGACGAGUCGAGUUGUUUGGGAAUGCAGCUCUAAAUGGGAGGUAAAUUUCUUCUAAAGCUAAAUACCGGCCAGAGACCGAUAGCGCACAAGUAGAGUGAUCGAAAGAUGAAAAGCACUUUGGAAAGAGAGUUAAACAGCACGUGAAAUUGUUGAAAGGGAAGCGCUUGCAACCAGACUUGACGGCGGUGUUCCCCCGGGCUUCUGCCCGGGUUAUUCACCGUCGGCAGGCCAUCAUCGUCUGGGGCCGCCGGAGAAACCGCCAGGAAUUAGCUCCCUCGGGAGUGUUAUAGCCUGGCGACAUGCGGCGUGCCCCGGGCGAGGUCCGCGCUCUGCAAGGAUGAUGGCGUAAUGGUUGUCAGCGGCCCGUCUUGAAACACGGACCAAGGAGUCUAACAUCUAUGCGAGUGUUCGGGUGUCAAACCCCUACGCGUAAUGAAAGUGAACGGAGGUGGGAGCUUCGGCGCACCAUCGACCGAUCCUGAUGUCCUCGGAUGGAUUUGAGUAAGAGCAUAGCUGUUGGGACCCGAAAGAUGGUGAACUAUGCCUGAAUAGGGUGAAGCCAGAGGAAACUCUGGUGGAGGCUCGCAGCGGUUCUGACGUGCAAAUCGAUCGUCAAAUUUGGGUAUAGGGGCGAAAGACUAAUCGAACCAUCUAGUAGCUGGUUCCUGCCGA
rnacentral:rRNA from 1 species